CUAUGAGUACUAUCCGGGAGACAGACUGCGGGUGCUAACGUCCGUAGUCAAGAGGAAAACAAUCCAGACCGCCAGCUAAGGCCCCAAAAUCAUAGUUAAGUGGGAAACGAUGUGGGAAGGCAUAGACAGCUAGGAGGUUGGCUUAGAAGCAGCCACCCUUUAAAGAAAGCGUAAUAGCUCACUAGUCGAGUCGGCCUGCGCGGAAGAUGUAACGGGGCUAAAACUAUGUGCCGAAGCUGCGGAUGUAUACUUUGUAUACGUGGUAGGGGAGCGUUCUGUAAGCCGAUGAAGGUGUGUUGAGAAGCAUGCUGGAGGUAUCAGAAGUGCGAAUGCUGACGUGAGUAACGACAAAACGGGUGAAAAACCCGUUCGCCGAAAGACCAAGGGUUCCAGUCCAACGUUAAUCGGGGCUGGGUGAGUCGACCCCUAAGGCGAGGCCGAAAGGCGUAGUCGAUGGGAAAAUGGUUAAUAUUCCAUUACUUCUGUGUAAUGCGAUGAGAGGACGGAGAAGGCUAAAUCAGCCUGGCGUUGGUUGUCCAGGUGAAAGGAUGUAGGCAUGUAUCUUAGGCAAAUCCGGGGUACUCUAUGCUGAGAUCUGAUAGCAAGCUGUACUUGUACAGCGAAGUGGUUGAUGCCAUGCUUCCAGGAAAAGUCUCUAAGCUUCAGUUACACAGGAAUCGUACCCGAAACCGACACAGGUGGUCAGGUCGAGUAGACCAAGGCGCUUGAGAGAACUCUGCUGAAGGAACUAGGCAAAAUGGUACCGUAACUUCGGGAGAAGGUACGCUGUUGUUGGUGAUGGAACUCGCUUCCUGAGCUGACGACAGCCGCAGAAACCAGGCCGCUGCAACUGUUUAUUAAAAACAUAGCACUCUGCAAACACGAAAGUGGACGUAUAGGGUGUGAUGCCUGCCCGGUGCUGGAAGGUUAAUUGAUGGGGUUAGCGUAAGCGAAGCUCUUGAUCGAAGCCCCAGUAAACGGCGGCCGUAACUAUAACGGUCCUAAGGUAGCGAAAUUCCUUGUCGGGUAAGUUCCGACCUGCACGAAUGGCAUAAUGAUGGCGGCGCUGUCUCCAGCAGAGGCUCAGUGAAAUCGAAAUCGCUGUGAAGAUGCAGUGUACCCGCGGCUAGACGGAAAGACCCCGUGAACCUUUACUGCAGCUUGACACUGAACUUUGACCUUACUUGUGUAGGAUAGGUGGGAGGCUUUGAAGCUGGAACGCUAGUUCCAGUGGAGCCGUCCUUGAAAUACCACCCUGGUAAUGUUGAGGUUCUAACUCUGUCCCGUGAUCCGGGACGAGGACCGUGUCUGGUGGGUAGUUUGACUGGGGCGGUCUCCUCCUAAAGAGUAACGGAGGAGUACGAAGGUGCGCUCAGCGUGGUCGGAAAUCACGCGUAGAGUAUAAAGGCAAAAGCGCGCUUAACUGCGAGACCCACAAGUCGAGCAGGUACGAAAGUAGGUCUUAGUGAUCCGGUGGUUCUGUAUGGAAGGGCCAUCGCUCAACGGAUAAAAGGUACUCUGGGGAUAACAGGCUGAUACCGCCCAAGAGUUCAUAUCGACGGCGGUGUUUGGCACCUCGAUGUCGGCUCAUCUCAUCCUGGGGCUGAAGCAGGUCCCAAGGGUAUGGCUGUUCGCCAUUUAAAGAGGUACGCGAGCUGGGUUUAGAACGUCGUGAGACAGUUCGGUCCCUAUCUACCGUGGGCGCUGGAAAUUUGAGAGGAUCUGCUCCUAGUACGAGAGGACCAGAGUGGACGAACCUCUGGUGUACCGGUUGUGACGCCAGUCGCAUCGCCGGGUAGCUAUGUUCGGAAGGGAUAACCGCUGAAAGCAUCUAAGCGGGAAGCCUACCUCAAGAUAAGAUUUCCCUAGGACUUUAUGUCCUCUAAAGAGCCGUUCGAGACUAGGACGUUGAUAGGUUGGAUGUGGAAGCAUAGUGAUAUGUGAAGCUGACCAAUACUAAUUGCUCGUGAGGCUUGACUAU
rnacentral:rRNA from 1 species